CCGGGGGAGGCUGCCAUGCCGCCUUCGGUUCCUCCACGGCGGCGCGUCAAUUACGGACCUCGCGGCAGAGAGCAUCUCCGAGCGCUGGCCCUCACGUGACGUCGUCGUUUGUGAUCCUUGACAUGGAGGCCAUAUAUGGCUGGGAGCAUUGACACUGCAGUAAAGGUCCACAAAGCCCAAGACAAAGACAGGCCGGCCUGUCCGUUGACGUCACGGGUUGGUCACGUCCAGAACGAACGGGUCGGGCUAAGUCAGCAGUUCCUGCCUGAAGCCGCACAGUAGAACCCUAUGAAACGUACCUGUGCCUGACUCUUCCCCCAGAGAUUCUUCUUGAAUGCAUGUGAGCGGAGGGCCGAACAGCACUGACUUUUUAAAACUUUUUAUUAACGUAUCAUACACACAAAAAGCACACAUAGGUGCACAGCUCCACCGAACUUUGCAAACAGAGGACACUCAGCAUCUGCAGCGAAGGGAGGAUCUUAGCAGCCCUUCCCCACUUUUGUACCCCUCUUUAACCCCGUCUCUACACUACCACCCACCUCCUCCUGCCAAGAAGGGGUGACCACUCCCCUGACCUCUAACAGUAAAGGUUGUUUUGAAUGUC